rnacentral:lncRNA from 1 species
AAAGUUUAAAAACUGUCCAUCCCCUUUAUUCUCCUAUCAUGUCCAGCUAAUUGCAAUAGGACUGCCCACGGUAUACUUCCCAUCAGACCACUCCAAACGAGCGAACACGUUCGUACCGGUUGGCUGUGAACUACCACUGAACGUCACCGUAUAUGAUUUCUUCUCAUUUGCUUGGCUAAAACUCAAAGUCUGUGGUUCAACUGAUAUCUUAACUCCUGGAGUUUCAGGUGAUACCGAUACCUUGUAAGUUCCUGGCGAGCCCACAUUGGUGAGAGUUCGAGUGUGUUUAACAACAUUCGACCCACCCAUGACCGAAUCAAAAUUGACAGCAAAGGAAGGGUAGUUGAGAUCAGUGACUCUGUAUCUCUUGCUAGCAUCACAUGAGAAGUUUCUUCUCGCCAGGGAUCUGAUUUGGAACUCUGUGUAGUUCAAGGCACAAAGGAAACCCAGAUAAUCUUCCGCUGUCAAAUCAUACACAAGCCCUGGAUUAAGC